rnacentral:rRNA from 1 species
UUACUGACGCUGAAGCUCGAAGGUGCGGGUAUCGAACAGGAUUAGAUACCCUGGUAGUCCGCACGGUAAACGAUGGAUGCUCGCUGUUGGCCUUUUAUGGUCAGUGGCCUAGCGAAAGCGUUAAGCAUCCCACCUGGGGAGUACGCCGGCAACGGUGAAACUCAAAGGAAUUGACGGGGGCCCGCACAAGCGGAGGAACAUGUGGUUUAAUUCGAUGAUACGCGAGGAACCUUACCCGGGCUUGAAUUGCAUAUGCAUAGGCCGGAGACGGUCUUUCCCUUCGGGGCUUAUGUGAAGGUGCUGCAUGGUUGUCGUCAGCUCGUGCCGUGAGGUGUCGGCUUAAGUGCCAUAACGAGCGCAACCCUUUCGGGUAGUUGCCAUCAGGUGAUGCUGGGCACUCUGCCCGUACUGCCAUCGCAAGAUGUGAGGAAGGUGGGGAUGACGUCAAAUCAGCACGGCCUUUACGUCCGGGGCUACACACGUGUUACAAUGGGGGGCACAGAGAGCAGCUUACGGGUGACCGUUGGCGAAUCUAUAAAUCCCCUCUCAGUUCGGACUGGAGUCUGCAACCCGACUCCACGAAGCUGGAUUCGCUAGUAA